GAACGCUGGCGGCAGGCCUAACACAUGCAAGUCGAGCGGUAACAGAAAGAAAGCUUGCUUUCUUUGCUGACGAGCGGCGGACGGGUGAGUAAUGCCUGGGAAUAUGCCUUAGUGUGGGGGAUAACUAUUGGAAACGAUAGCUAAUACCGCAUAACGUCUUCGGACCAAAGAGGGGGACCUUCGGGCCUCUCGCGCUAAGAUUAGCCCAGGUGGGAUUAGCUAGUUGGUGAGGUAAAGGCUCACCAAGGCAACGAUCCCUAGCUGGUCUGAGAGGAUGAUCAGCCACACUGGAACUGAGACACGGUCCAGACUCCUACGGGAGGCAGCAGUGGGGAAUAUUGCACAAUGGGGGGAACCCUGAUGCAGCCAUGCCGCGUGUAUGAAGAAGGCCUUCGGGUUGUAAAGUACUUUCAGUCGUGAGGAAGGCAUUGUAGUUAAUAGCUGCAGUGCUUGACGUUAGCGACAGAAGAAGCACCGGCUAACUCCGUG
rnacentral:rRNA from 1 species